CAGAGAGCAUGAGGGAACUGAGGAGACGGAGGGCAGGCGAUGAAGAAGAAAAUAUUCUUUGAACCUAUCUUUGGAAGAUCAUUCAAGAAAGAGGGAGUAAUCAAAGAAGUUGUUGGGUUUUGAAACGGGGAUGUUGAUUGUGGAUCAGCUGGUCUUGAUUCAAGAUAAGAAGCAGGGGAUGUUGGUGGCCAUACUUGUUAGACUCCUCCAUUGCUGCUUCCCCAAGCAAUAUAAAGAAAGGAAAUGGUUGAUUUUGGGAGCAAAGAUUGAAUGGGAAAACAAGAAUACAAGUAAAGAAAGAUAAAGAUUUGAGGAAGUGGCAGAGGCAGAGGGUGGGUUAUAGUAAACAAUAGAGGUGAAGUCAAUGAGGUAGUCAAUGCUUAGAUCUUAUCUUAUGGUUGUACAGCUCUGCCUGCUUCACAUUUGCUUUUGAGGUUGGGUUGAUUUGAUAUUUAUGACUAAAUAUUUCUGUUAAUAA